UUCUAUUUUCUCGGAUUUUCAUUUUAACUAUUUCUGUAAGCAAUCCUCAUUUUUCGUCGGAAAUUUAACUUGGAUUUCAACAAAGCCAAGGACCGAAACCUCCUUGCAAACAGGCAACAAAUUUUGUGGAAAAUUUUGGAAAACAACACCAAGCAGACACAAAGGCCCCACCACUCGAUUACUUGUGUUUUUGAGGAUAAAAGGACGGUGCCACUCUAUGUCCUGGAGUUAGAGGUUCCACCUCGAGCUGCGAAGUGAACCAAGUUGAGAUGGCUGGAGCGCCCACUCUAAUACUUAUGCAUGGAGCCUUUCCCUUCCCGCGGGGUGCACCAAUCAAAAAAAUUAUUUUUUCUCUAUUUCAUGUUGAUUUUUAAUGUUUUAUUUUUGUUAAAUCAAUAAAUUUAGAAAAAAAGUUG
ensembl:antisense_RNA anr-28 ncRNA